rnacentral:rRNA from 1 species
GACGAACGCUGGCGGCGUGCUUAACACAUGCAAGUCGAACGAAGUGGCGAACGGGUGAGUAACGCUUAAUCAACCUGCCCUUCAGCGGGGGACAACAGUUGGAAACGACUCCUAAUACCGCAUACUGAAGGAGGGGAUUGCGUUUGAUUAGCUAGUUGGAGGGGUAACGGCCCACCAAGGCGAUGAUCAGUAGCCGGUCGGAGAGGAUGAACGGCCACAAUGGGACUGAGACACGGGCCAGACUUCUACGGGAGGCAGCAGGUGGGAAACUUCCGCAAUGGACGAAAGUCUGACGGAGCAACGCCGGGGUAUAGAUGACGGCCUUCGGGUUGUAAAGGUCUGUUAAUCGGGACGCGGUACCGGAAUAGAAAGCCACGGCUAACUACGUGCCAGCAGCCGCGGUAAUAC